CGAGUGAGAAUUCUGACAUGAGUAGCGAUAAAGAGUGUGAAAACACUCUCGCCGAAAUCCCAAGGGUUCCUGCGCAAGGCUAAUCCGCGCAGGGUGAGUCGGCCCCUAAGCCGAGGGCGAAAGCCGUAGGCGAUGGGAAUCAGGUGAAUAUUCCUGAACCAGACGGUGGUGACGAAUAGCGGUAGCUGUACGGACUUAACGGAUUGUCUGUGCAGUCAAGUUGUUCCAGGAAAUAACCCCGUCAUAAGACCGUACCCGAAACC
rnacentral:rRNA from 1 species